rnacentral:piRNA from 1 species
UUCUGGGUUUUUUUUUCGAAA